rnacentral:lncRNA from 1 species
UAAAUAUUUAUUUUUUAUUAUUUCAAUCAACAGGUAUACCUUAAUUAAAUUUUUUCCGGAAUAGUAAUUUCUUUUUCUGGAAAAGUAAUACCAAUUUGCGGAAACGUAAAAACGCCGCUACUUAUUUCGGAAAAGUAAUGCACGAAAAUGCGGAAACGUGAAAUUGGACUUUUGGAAAAAAAAUAACUACUAAAGGACAUGUUAGCGCCGACAUGAGUUGUAAGAAAAGAUUUCCAAAACAACCAUAUCAUUAAGAAGGAAUGUUUACAUGCUAUACUCUCGUACUAGUAUUACAGGGUUCUUGUGGCGUUCACCUUAGACACAC